rnacentral:lncRNA from 1 species
UAUUCGCUCCUGCAUCCGCUAGUCCACCUACAGUGUUGCCAAUAAAUAACGCAGCCCAAUUUGAAAUUCGGGCUGCGACAAUAAAUAUGCUACCCAAAUUCCAUUGGUUUGAAAGGGAGGCAACCCAACAUGUAAAUAUUAUAUAAAUAUAUAUAUAAAAAUAAAAAUAAAAAUAAAAAUAAAAAAAAUUAAUAAAUUACUAAUAUGCAGGUUUGAGGAUUUUUGGC